rnacentral:rRNA from 1 species
AACGAUGAAGCCUUUCGGGGUGGAUUAGUGGCGAACGGGUGAGUAACACGUGGGCAAUCUGCCCUUCACUCUGGGACAAGCCCUGGAAACGGGGUCUAAUACCGGAUAACACUCUGUCCCGCAUGGGACGGGGUUAAAAGCUCCGGCGGUGAAGGAUGAGCCCGCGGCCUAUCAGCUUGUUGGUGGGGUGAUGGCCUACCAAGGCGACGACGGGUAGCCGGCCUGAGAGGGCGACCGGCCACACUGGGACUGAGACACGGCCCAGACUCCU